rnacentral:rRNA from 1 species
GACGAACGCUGGCGGCGUGCUUAACACAUGCAAGUCGAACGGAAAGGACCCCUUGUGGGGUACUUGAGUGGCGAACGGGUGUGUAACACGUGAGUAACCUACCCUUGACUUUGGGAUAACUUCAGGAAACUGGGGCUAAUACCGGAUAGGAGCUCCUGCUGCGUGGUGGGGGUUGGAAAGUUUCGGCGGGUGGGGAUGGACUCGCGGCGUAUCAGCUUGUUGGUGGGGUAGUGGCUCACCAAGGCUUUGACGGGUAGCCGGCCUGGGAGGGUGACCGGCCACAUUGGGACUGAGAUACGGCCCAGACUCCUCCGGGAGGCAGCAGUGGGGAAUAUUGCACAAUGGGCGGAAGCCUGAUGCAGCCACGCCGCGUGCGGGAUGACGGCCUUCGGGUUGUAAACCGCUUUCGCCUGUGACGAAGCGUGAGUGACGGUAAUGGGUAAGGAAGCACCGGCUAACUACGUG